rnacentral:lncRNA from 1 species
CUGUGUAAAGGGAAGAGAAGGGAUGAGAGCAAUGUCUGGUUGGGUUUUGUCAAGGGAAGGGAAGAGGGUAAUGACAUGGAGCAGCUGCAAGGGCAUACUAGGAGAGGAGGGUCGACCCCGACGCCAUGGAAGGUCUCUCUCUCUCUCUCUCUGUUAAUGAGGUAACAUAAUCAUGAGCCAAUUUAAAUAAACAUGAACAAUUUGUUAGAUUCAUCAAUCUCUUUCAAUUCCGUAAGUUGGAGCUUAUUAGAUGUGAAGUAGAUUCAGAAAAAUUGUCCCUUUUCAUUUGAUGCUUGUUUGCAUUCACACACUGGAUGGCCAUGUGAAGAAAUUUACAUGUGUUUGUCUAAUAUUGCCUGAAAGUCAUGUGUUUAAAAAGGUUACGCAAGUUGUUGAUGCUCUUCUGCUCUAGCCUAUGCUGGUCAAGUGGGCAGCUUAUAAAAUUGGUAUGGACAGAAGUAACACGGAUAAUAAGAUCAAUAGGUUUAUGAUAGAAAAGCUUUUCUGUAUAUCCUGAAUGAAUAUAAACGAUGCAUGAUCAUUUCAAGCUGCACUUCCCUGUCAAUUAUUUCAUUGUUUAUCAAGUAUUUUCAAGUUUCAUAGUCCACUACAUUACAAAUUUUGAUUUUUCAUCUAAUAACAAAUACAUAGCUUAAUGUUCAAUGAAUAAAACUAAGUGUGGGCGAUCUCUCAAGGAAACUGUAUCAUAUUCUUUGUUGAAAGUUUCCAUGCCAUUUGAAGUUCAUUUGGCAAGCAAGUAUCGUUUACUAUUUGUCAGCCCUUUGAGAUGUAGUUGCAACAUAAACAUUGCCGCCACUCGUCGACCCGGAUGACAUAAACUUCAAAUGUUCAUGUGUCAACAAGUUUACACAUCAUGGGGGGAUAUUGUUUGUUAGUGACAUGCCAUUUCGUUGGCAGGUUUAUACGGCCUCAACUACUGCUGCUAUAUUACUUGGAGUUCUGUGAUGUGUAUUUUGUCACUUUGUCAUUUGACUUCCAUUUGACACACUUUUCUUUGGAUUAAUUUUAAGAAACCACAUGUUUACUCUUGUUUUAUAGUAGAUACAAUGUUAUUCUCAUUUGCAGGCACUAUAAGAUUUAGGAAUUCUGUGCAAUAUGUAAUUCUUUUUUAUUUUUGUUGCAAUUCUCUUAUUUCUACUGUCCAUUCAUAUCUGCAAAUAUCUAAUAUUCUUGUAAAUAGGGUAGGUAAGAUUGGAUAGCGUGCUACUUGGUGCUGCCCAUCACAAUCAGCCACGAGAUGAUAGUUUCCAUCAAGAGCGUCAAUAGCAAGAGCCUGAAUAACAACACCCUCAAUAGUUUAUAUGUUCUGAUGUAAAAUGGAUUGUACUGGUUCAUAACUCUGCUGUGUGAUAUAUGUUCUCAAUAUAUGUUGUAUGUUAUCAUUUUGUAGAGGAUUUUUAGACUGCUAUGUUGUAGAUACGUACAGAUGGAUGUGAUAAACUUUGUAAUGUUUCACACCUUGCAAAUAUUUUUUGUUGGGCCAAAAUUGGCAUUAGGAUUUGUGUAACGCAUUAUGUUAAAAACAUACUGGGUCAAAUUUCGGCCAAAAUAAAUGGGCUAAUUGUCUC